GCAUAUCAAUAAGCGGAGGAAAAGAAACCAACAGGGAUUGCCUUAGUAACGGCGAGUGAAGCGGCAACAGCUCAAAUUUGAAAGCUGGCCCUUUUAGGGUCCGCAUUGUAAUUUGUAGAGGAUGAUUCGGCGAGGGCUCCUGCCUAAGUCCCCUGGAACGGGGCGUCAUAGAGGGUGAGAAUCCCGUAUGCGGUAGGUUGCCUUAGCCAUGUGAAUCUCCUUCGACGAGUCGAGUUGUUUGGGAAUGCAGCUCUAAAUGGGAGGUAAAUUUCUUCUAAAGCUAAAUACCGGCCAGAGACCGAUAGCGCACAAGUAGAGUGAUCGAAAGAUGAAAAGCACUUUGGAAAGAGAGUUAAAAAGUACGUGAAAUUGUUGAAAGGGAAGCGCUUGCAACCAGACUUGUCCGCAGUUGCUCAGCCGGUCUCCUGACCGGCGUACUCUUCUGCGGCCAGGCCAGCAUCAGUUCGGGCGGUCGGAUAAAGGCCUCGGGAAUGUGGCUCCUCUCGGGGAGUGUUAUAGCCCGGGGUGCAAUGCGGCCAGCCUGGACUGAGGAACUCGCUUCGGCAAGGAUGCUGGCGUAAUGGUUGUAAGCGGCCCGUCUUGAAACACGGACC
rnacentral:rRNA from 1 species